rnacentral:misc_RNA from 1 species
CUUCUUGGAGAGGAGGAGGAAACAAUGGAGAUUGAGGAAUUGAGCAGUUAUGAGGCACUGCCACUUCUCUCCUUGAAUCAUGUUUCUUUGCUGUGCAGAUCAGUGUGGGCUUCCGUGAGGUUCUACGAGGAUGUUUUAGGCUUUGUUCUCAUCAAACGACCUUCUUCUUUCAAUUUCAAUGGAGCUUGGUUGUACAAUUAUGGCAUUGGGAUACAUUUGAUUGAGAACCCAGCCAUUGAUGAAUUUGACCCCAUUACUGAACCUCGUCCAAUUAAUCCCAAGGAUAAUCACAUCUCCUUUCAGUGCACUGAUGUUGGGCUUGUUAAGAGGAGGUUGCAAGAACUGGGAAUGAGGUACGUGACAGCAGUGGUGGAAGAUGAUGGGAACAGAGUGGAUCAGGUUUUCUUUCAUGACCCAGAUGGUUACAUGGUUGAACUCUGCAAUUGUGAGAACAUCCCAAUUAUCCCACUCUCCUCCUGCUCAUUCAGGCCCAGAAACAUGGGAAGCUUCAAGAGAGCAGCACCCAACAAAUGUGGGUUUAUGGAGAAUGUGAUGAUGGAGAACUUGAGCAUGGACAUGAUGAACAUUU